rnacentral:lncRNA from 1 species
AAUGACAAUCAGAAGUUGGAUUACCUCCAUCUUUGCGAAACCAAAAGGUUUCGUUGUUGACAACAAAAAGAGUCUUGAAUAUAAAGUCAAAUGAAAAUGAAUAACGACAUUCGGAAUUAGGAUCUCAAUUGCAAGAACAAGUGCAGCAAGUGCCACGGAAUUCCACCUCUUCAGCAGCAUAAGGAGUACAUGAACAAGUGCAACAAGCGAAUAUGAAUUCCAUCACUCCUGCAUCACAGGGAGUACAUGAACGAUCUGAUGAUUCUACCAAUCAUGAAGCAAUUGAACAAAUUGAGGAACAAGGCAAAUAUAUAUAAAUUUUAAUCAUAAAAUUAACUAAAAAUAGUGAUUAAUGAUUAUCUUUGCUUUGUACUAUUGCAGGCCCCUCCUCGCCAAAAAGAAAAAGAGGUCGUACUCAAAUGCCAAGUGUUCAUGGUAGAAAGGAGCGUAAAAUAAUCAUUCUAAAUGAGUAUAAUCAACCCGUUGGUCCUACUAAAGAAGUUGUUAAAGAGUUGGGUAGCUUCCUCGGCACAUUGGCAAGGAGUGGGACUUUUUGUCCUCUUAAUGUAUUUAAUUGGAGGAAACUACACACGAAAGAUGAUAUGUGGAAAUAUAUCAAGGUAUGAAGUUCUCAAUGUCCAAUAAAUAUGGAUGGUAUUUCUUAUUUCUUACACUAACCCAAUUGCACUAAAUUUGUAGGAAAAAUAUGACAUUCCUGACGAGGCGAAACAAUGGGUUUUUGAAUCAGUUUGUAGUACUUGGAGAAAGUAUAAGAGUCAAUUGAAGACAAACCACUUCACAGCCUAUGCGCAUGAUGAGCUUCGAAUGGAAAAUAGGACAGUAGAUGUUUCGAAAUCUCACUUUAAGGAUUUUCUUAAAUAUUGGAACUCCGAUCCUCACAAGGUAAUUACAUUCGGAAUACCUUUUGUUCACACUCUGUAAACUAGAGAUAAAAAAGCUCAACUCUCUGCAUUAGUUUAAAGGGCAUGCUUCAUUUAAUACAUUUGGGGGCGGGAGAGUACAGUUAAUGAAAUAUAGGGGGGUUGAAAAUCGACUAUCUUUAUGUUGUUCAAGACAGCUUUACUUUUCCUGAGUAGGCAAAUUGAAUGUAGUGGCUAUGCUUUAAUGUGAUAAUAAGGAACUGAAACUAGUUCAGAUUUAUGGUCCCUUUUUGAAACAAGGGAAAACAAGAGGAAAAGAGUAACGAGGGUUAUGAAUUCAAAAGUAGCUAAGCAAAUGUUGACUCGUUUAUUUGGAGAAAAUGUCCUAAACCAAAUACAGAAAAUCGAAAUAAGUUGAAGUGUCCGCACACUGCUGGCAGAACACCUUUUGCUCUAAUUCGCGAGGUUUGAUGUUUUAUUUUUCUUAUUUAUUUAUUUUUAAAUUAUGAAGUUGCUAACUUUAUAUGGAAAGAUUGUUAUACCUGAUUUCAUGUAGCUAGGAAAAAAAAAAGAAAAUCUCUGAUACUUCAGAUACUCUAUCAAGUAAGGACAUCUUUGUGGCUACAAGAAAAAGAAAACUUAGCCGAGUAUACAAAAGCGCAUACGACAAUACGAUUAGUAAAAUUGUACGAAAUUUCUAAUUUAAAGUUUGUCGUGAUUAUAAAAUUAGAAAUUUCUAAUUUUAGUUACUUAAACUCUAUUCUCUCACAUUUGGUUUGUAGGCUGAAAUGGAGAGAAUACAAUCAACUCGGGAAAGUGAAGAUGGCAGUCAUUCAGUUGACGCUUAUGCAUCAGUCAUGGGACCUGAACAUCCAGGUCGCGUGAGAUUGUAUGGACGAGGGGUUACCAAGACUGUGUUAAAAGGGCAAAAAGGGAAUCUUGGAUCUUCUUUAGAUGCUACUGAUGAGAGGAUGCAACAGAAAAUGGAGGAAAUGGAAGAGAUGUUGCAACAAAGAAUGCAUGAAAAGUUGAACGAACAAAAGGAUGCUAUGGAACAAAAUAUUACAAUGAACGUCAUCGCACGACUUCAGCGUCUGAACCCAGAUUUGUGACUUGAUCCUGACAUGUUAAGGUUCAGUGCACGUUCACCUGUAGAAGCUUUCUCUGCACAACAAGCUGCUGUUCAACUAAACAAUCGACCAUCUGCUGGUAGUAACAAUCAAGGUCAAUACGUACCAAUUUAAUGUUUACAGCCCUUGUCCAUGAAUUACUCAUAAACAGAAGCUAUGAACUAUAGACUCGCUCUGUGUGUGUGUGAAGACGUUUUAGCUGAAAGGCAUGUGUAAAACUUGAUUUAAGAAAUUGGUGUGAGUGUGGGGUGGGGGCGCAAACUUUUUAGCUGAAAGGCUAG